AGUGAACGCUGGCGGUAGGCCUAACACAUGCAAGUCGAACGGCAGCACAGUAAGAGCUUGCUCUUACGGGUGGCGAGUGGCGGACGGGUGAGGAAUACAUCGGAAUCUACUUUUUCGUGGGGGAUAACGUAGGGAAACUUACGCUAAUACCGCAUACGACCUACGGGUGAAAGCAGGGGAUUUUCGGACCUUGCGCGAUUGAAUGAGCCGAUGUCGGAUUAGCUAGUUGGCGGGGUAAAGGCCCACCAAGGCGACGAUCCGUAGCUGGUCUGAGAGGAUGAUCAGCCACACUGGAACUGAGACACGGUCCAGACUCCUACGGGAGGCAGCAGUGGGGAAUAUUGGACAAUGGGCGCAAGCCUGAUCCAGCCAUACCGCGUGGGUGAAGAAGGCCUUCGGGUUGUAAAGCCCUUUUGUUGGGAAAGAAAAGCAGCAGGUUAAUACCCCGCUGUUCUGACGGUACCCAAAGAAUAAGCACCCGCUAACUUCGUG
rnacentral:rRNA from 1 species